rnacentral:rRNA from 1 species
UACGUAGGGUGCAAGCGUUAAUCGGAAUACUGGGCGUAAAGCGUGCGCAGGCGGUGAUGUAAGACAGUUGUGAAAUCCCCGGGCUCAACCUGGGAACUGCAUCUGUGACUGCAUCGCUGGAGUGCGGCAGAGGGGGAUGGAAUUCCGCGUGUAGCAGUGAAAUGCGUAGAUAUGCGGAGGAACACCGAUGGCGAAGGCAAUCCCCUGGGCCUGGCACUGACGCUCCAUGCACGAAAGCGUGGGGAGCAAACAGGAU